rnacentral:misc_RNA from 1 species
AGAAAGCUGUAAAGGCAGCGAAACCUGACUCCAAAAGACUUCAUUGCUCCUGAAGAAGAGAGUCCUAUGUGUGAGCGCUUUAGAUAUAGGUCAUCCAAAAAAUUUAUGAAAUAUAGAGAAUAUACGUCAAAAAGAAAUUGGAACUUUAACAUUAUUGUGUUAGAAUUCAGAUAUAUAAAAAGAAAAUUAAAUGCUAAUUUUAAUUUAACUCAAAAAGAAUGAGGUGAAAUUAUAUGACAGCCUAAAAAAAAACUUCAGAUAAGUGGCCGCGCGCCAAUGCCAAUGAUUUCAAAUUACGGAGUACCUGCCUCGCAGAUCCAGACGCGCAUUUUUAUGCUUUAUACGAAAAAAGUGUCGGUUCGCCCAAUAAGAAGAAAUUAUUAGGAGGGUGAUAGAAUUACAAACAAUUAAUGUAAUUUAAAAUCGAAAAGAUCAGGUUGCAUUUCAAUAGCAAUACUGAUUGAAUGAAUGAAAAGAGUUCUGGAGUACAAGAAAUUUUAUUCUGUAAAAUAAACUGACUCCGCAUCCGGAAACAGGAAAAGAAAAAUGAAUAUAAUUUUCGGUCGUUGUCGAAGCCGUACGGAACGCUAUUUAAUCACUGUGUUAAUUAAGAAAUAAAGAAUUUGAGUUCACUAUACAGAUAUUAAAAAAUUUAUAUUUAAGUAGAGACAAAAAUUAAUUAGUUAACUACUGCUGUCAUCAUAAAUGUAGCAUAUGGAUUCGAUGCUGAGCUUAUGUGACGUUAUUUGUUAGUGCUCCUCUUCUGUGUGGAUCGCCAUUUUCACGCGACCCUCGUGCUCUUCUUUUAUCUCUAUACAUAUUUUGAUGUGCGCUAAUUAUUGAGGAUUUUAUUUUGAACUGUGAUGAACUUCUAAGUGUUUCCGUUGGAUUAUGUUUGUGAAAUUAAGAUGGCGGGAAAUGAUUUUCCCCCCAUUAACUUUCGAGGAUGCGAAAGCUGUUGCUCGUCGCCUCGUGUAUUCUUUGGUGUCGGGUUUGCCGGAUGAACUUGUUAAAUACGCUCAUGAAAAACUGAAUAGCGAAUGUAACGACUUAUUAUUGAAAGAACCGACUGACCUCAAGGAUUACGUAAAAAUUCGCCACGCUCUCUUUACACAGAAAACAAUGUCGCCUGGCAUAGAACAAUACCAGAAAAUUAGGACUAUUUGUGAAGAGCUAACAAUUUUAUUUCAAGAUAAGUGCAAAGCAUUUUGUGAAUUACAUCAUAAUAUUGUUAAACUUAAUUAUGGUGGACUGGUUCUUAAUUUGCAUGAUGAAUAUAAUGUUAAUGAAAAUUCUAGUGCUGUUUGCAAUGUUGAUGUUAUUGAUACCCCUAAUCAGGUGAAGACUAAUAGUGACUGUGUUAUCAUUAUGGAGGAUAUUCAUACCCGUAAUGUUAAUAUUUCUGAUAAUAAUUCUCUUAUGACUUCUAAGCUUAAACGGCCGUCAAAAAAUCGAGUAAAAAAAACGGCCAGACCAUCUAAAUUGAUAAAGAAUAAUGUUGAAAUUCCCCUCAGUAAUAAAUUUCAUGAAUUACCCAAAGAUGUUUCGGACAGCAAUGAAAAUAAUAUGUUGAAAAUGUUGCCUAAGCCCAACCACCAAUUCAGUAUUCAGAUUUCAAGAAAAAUAUGAAGCAAGAUACGGGAUUAAAUUUCGCGGGCAAGGUUUGGGGGUGAUUUUUUGGAAAAUCUUUCCCAAAACAGAAGAUGCUCAUCGAGGUAUAACCAAUUAUAACGGCAGAUGUAAAAUUGAUUAUUAUCUCAUUACCAAAAAAUAUGACCGACUAAUUAAAGUACUAGCCAGAGGCCUUCUCAUAGACUGUUCGAUAGAUGAAAUUAAACAAGAAUUAAGUAACAUGGGGUUCAAAGUUAGGAAAAUUGCACAAAUGCAUAGACUAAAAGGUUAGAAGUAGUUAGGUGUUGCAACUGCCUCAAAGUAGGACACACCGCCAAUUUUAGGGGUUGUCCUAAAUUUCCAAAACCCAAACAAAACUAACUCCAGACCUAUGUAAAUUGUACUGGAAAACUGAUAAUAUGUAAUAGAUCCCGUAGUACUAAUGAGUUAUCUUAUGCAAAUGUAACAAGUGGAAAUACGAUUAUGUUAGACACCCAGUCAAUACAAGUUGUAUUGAUGUAAACAGUACUAAUACCAGUAGCCUCAACUUAAAGCUCCCUAGGAGAAGUUUACAAGCUUCUAAAGGAAAUAGAUAGGUUGGAUGGAAAUUAAAGCAGUUGGAUGAGAACGAGCUGGUGACAAGAAAAAGAGGAAAAAGCGCAGGAAGGAAUCUUUCGCUAUUUAUAUCUACAAGGUUUUGAAACAGGUUCAUCCCGACAUUGGUAUUUCCAGCAAAGCAAUGUCCAUCACGAAUUCCUUCGUUAACGACAUCUUUGAGAGAAUUGCAGCAGAAUUUUUUCGUUUAGCUCAUUACAAUAAGAGGAGUACUAUCACUAGGCAAGAAACUCAAACUGCAGUACGACUGUUGUUGCCUGAUGAACUGGCAAAACAUGCUGUUGGGGAAGGUACCAAAGCUAUCACCAAGUACACCAGCUCUAAAUAAAUUUUCAAAGCUUUCUUUAUAAAAAAAGGCCCUAAUGAUAAAGAUUAGCUGUUGCCUGCUUAUCCUUAAAUUCUAUGCCACAUAUCACUCAUUUCACAUAGGCAUUCUUAAAGGAAUUCACACUUACUCUUUGCAAAAGAAUUUAAUGAUAUACUUCAACUUUGCAAGUUGACAUCUCAGCUCAUCUUUAUCCUUGUUGCUCUGCAUCCAAUUUCUUUCUUUCAAAAUGUGGAUCUAAUCCUAUAUACGCACAAUAAUGAGAGGUGAAAUAAGUCUAUGCUUUGCCUUUCAUGAUUCCUUGGUAUCAAAAUUCAUUGGCUGACAUCAGCCUUAAUAGCUUUCAAUGCAGUUGUUUUUCCAUAAGUUUGCUAUUUAUCAAAUUCAGCAAAAUGUCUUCAUAUCAGUGUUGUUGCUUUCAGGUGUAUGCAUCACGAAUCGUUUGAACUUCUGGUUCUGUGCACUUAUCGAAUAUAAAACAUUUGAUUUUGUCAGUAGUAACAACAAAUUCGAUGAAAGUCCUUUCCUUUCACAAAGUGAAUUAAUGUUGCAUCUCAUAACCAUCAGAUUUCAGCUGUGUGAGAUGAUAUUCCAUUUGCAUUAAAUGACCUAAUUAAAGUGAAGAUGACUUCUUGUUUCUAAACACAAGGUAUUACCUCACUUUCAUGUAAAUUUUUCAAAUAUGCUUAAAUGGAAGUAGUUCUAAAUAUUGUACUACUAGUUCAAUGAUGAUAACAAGAUUCUAAUUAUCAGGUACAACAAUGAACAUAGCUGUCUUUCGGUAUGUCAGCAACUGCUUAUUUAUUUUUUCUACCUCAUCAGAAAGCGAUACUGACUACUCAAAUGAGAACUGAUACUGCAUUCAUGUUUAAAUCUGAUUAUGUCACUCAAUAUAAAUUGCAAUAAAUUCGGUAUCCAUCAAGGAAUACUCUCUAAAUUAAGAGUGCUAUGUCAGUAAGCAUUUCUAAUCCACAGCAAGAACACUCUUCCAACUUUCCAGCUCAGAACAUGUAUGUAAUAUGAUUAAUAAGUUUGAAAAAAAAACUAUUUAGUUUUUCAUAUGAUAGACCAAGCAUUUGGAAUUACAGAAUAUUUUUCUUUUUAAAAAAUAUAUCAUAAACACUAAACAUUAAACACAAUAAAUACUCAUAGAAUUUCCAAUUUUAUAUUCAACAUAAAAGGGUAAAACGUAAUCAAAGCACAUGCAUGAUGAAAAUUUCAAAUACAUAGUAAAAUAUUCACAUGAAGAUCCACUAUGAUAAGUGGAAGCCUUCACCAAGCAUUUAGAAUUAUGGGAUAUCCUUCUUUUUUCCAAAACAAUUAUUAUAAAAAAUAAACAUUUAUACACCAGAAAGAAAAACUAAGAAGAAAAAUAUGGUUUUUGAAAAAUGCUUUUAUCCUACAAAUUUUCCUAUUACUUAUGGAAUAAACUUACCUUUCAAUAAAAACUACAUUCCUAUUUAUAUAUAUUACAGAUUUAGUUGAACAAUGCUAAGUUCUUGAACAUUCUUUACCCUAAACAUGCACCAUCUUGCUAUACAGGAUGCAAUUUGAUCUGACCACUUUAUAAGUUGAGUGAUCACUUCAGCACAACAGAACUCUUUUGAACAAUGAAUUCUAUUGCAUCUGCCUGCCCCACUCUGAAAUAGAUAUCGAGGGUUAAUUUGCAUUUCAAUAGCUAUUUACAUACAGUGUAAGUGGCAACAGUUGUAUUGCCUCACUGAAUGAUUCCAGUACUUUCCUGCAAUGUGUUUUGAUUCUGUGUGACAUUAUUUAGUGUAGAAAUAAAAUUUAUAAAACUUC